CACAGCCACGGGAAUACGAAGGGGGCUAGCGUUGUUCGGAUUUACUGGGCGUAAAGCGCACGUAGGCGGACUUUUAAGUCAGGGGUGAAAUCCCGGGGCUCAACCCCGGAACUGCCUUUGAUACUGGAAGUCUUGAGUAUGGUAGAGGUGAGUGGAAUUCCGAGUGUAGAGGUGAAAUUCGUAGAUAUUCGGAGGAACACCAGUGGCGAAGGCGGCUCACUGGACCAUUACUGACGCUGAGGUGCGAAAGCGUGGGGAGCAAACAGGAUUAGAUACCCCAGUAGUCCCUGUCUCUUAUACA
rnacentral:rRNA from 1 species